rnacentral:misc_RNA from 1 species
GAUGAAGAACGUAGCGAAAUGCGAUAAGUAAUGCGAAUUGCAGAAUCCGUGAGUCAUCGAAUCUUUGAACGCACAUUGCGCCCUUUGGUAUUCCGAAGGGCAUGCCUGUUCGAGCGUCAUUAUCACCACUCAAGCCCGGCUUGCUGUUGGUGGCAGCGCAGCCGGUCAACCGGCUACGCUCCACCCAAAGAUAAUGACGGCGUCUGCGAGGACUCCUGUACAUUGAGCUUUCGGGCACGUACAUGGCGAGAAGUCCAGGCGCCGGUCGACGUCCUCCGGGACACUUUUUACCAAGGUUGACCUCGGAUCAGGUAGGGAUACCCGCUGAACUUAAGCAUAUCAAUAAGCGGAGGA